rnacentral:tRNA from 1 species
ACCUGAGUGGCAGAAAUAUGCGUCAAAUUUAAGCUUUGGAGAUGGGAAAUGUCCCCUCCGGUA